GACAAACGCUGGCGGUAUGCCUAACACAUGCAAGUCGAACGGACAGAACAGGGAAGCUUUUCGGAGUGGAACUGGAAAGUUAGUGGCGGAUGGGUGAGUAACGCGUGGACAACCUACCUUGUAAAGGGGAAUAACCUCGAGAAAUCGAAGCUAAUACCCCAUAAUAACCUUGCUUCGCAUGAAGUAAGGAGGAAAGGCGGGCUUAGCGCUGUCGAUAUAAGAUGGGUCCGCGUCUGAUUAGCUAGUUGGUGAGGUAAAGGCUCACCAAGGCGACGAUGAGUAGCCGGCCUGAGAUGGUGAACGGCCACAUUGGAACUGAGACACGGCCCAAACUCCUACGGGAGGCAGCAGUGGGGAAUCUUCCGCAAUGGGCGAAAGCCUGACGGAGCAAUGCCGCGUGAGUGAAGAAGGCCUUCGGGUUGUAAAACUCUGUCCUUAUCGAAGAGAGAGUGUUGUAGUAACUGACAAUACUAGGACGGUAGAUGAGGAGGAAGCCCCGGCUAACUAUGUG
rnacentral:rRNA from 1 species